rnacentral:rRNA from 1 species
CCCUUAGACGUUCUGGGCCGCACGCGCGCUACACUGACCAGUGCAACAAGCAUCCGUCCUUGGCCGACAGGCCCGGGCAAUCUUUGAACGCUGGUCGUGAUGGGGAUAGACUUUUGCAAUUUUUGGUCUUCAACGAGGAAUUCCUAGUAAACGCAAGUCAUCAACUUGCAUUGAUUACGUCCCUGCCCUUUGUACACACCGCCCGUCGCACCUACCGAUUGAACGUUUUAGUGAGGUACUCGGACUGAGCCUCAGAAGAUUCACGUCUUUUGUGCUGCUCGGGAAGAUUCCCAAACUUGAGCGUUUAGAGGAAGUAAAAGUCGUAACA